rnacentral:rRNA from 1 species
CUAAGCAUAUCAAUAAGCGGAGGAAAAGAAACCAACAGGGAUUGCCCUAGUAACGGCGAGUGAAGCGGCAACAGCUCAAAUUUGAAAAUCUGGCUCUUUCAGAGUCCGAGUUGUAAUUUGCAGAGGGCGCUUUGGCUUUGGCAGCGGUCCAAGUUCCUUGGAACAGGACGUCACAGAGGGUGAGAAUCCCGUACGUGGUCGCUAGCUAUUGCCGUGUAAAGCCCCUUCGACGAGUCGAGUUGUUUGGGAAUGCAGCUCUAAAUGGGAGGUAAAUUUCUUCUAAAGCUAAAUAUUGGCCAGAGACCGAUAGCGCACAAGUAGAGUGAUCGAAAGAUGAAAAGCACUUUGGAAAGAGAGUCAAACAGCACGUGAAAUUGUUGAAAGGGAAGCGCUUGCAGCCAGACUUGCUUGCAGUUGCUCAUCCGGGCUUUUGCCCGGUGCACUCUUCUGCAGGCAGGCCAGCAUCAGUUUGGGCGGUGGGAUAAAGGUCUCUGUCAUGUACCUCUCUUCGGGGAGGCCUUAUAGGGGAGGCGACAUACCACCAGCCUAGACUGAGGUCCGCGCAUCUGCUAGGAUGCUGGCGUAAUGGCUGUAAGCGGCCCGUCUUGAAACACGGACCAAGGAGUCUAACAUCUAUGCGAGUGUUUGGGUGUCAAGCCCGAGCGCGUAAUGAAAGUGAACGGAGGUGGGAACCCGCAAGGGUGCACCAUCGACCGAUCCUGAAGUUUACGGAAGGAUUUGAGUAAGAGCAUGGCUGUUGGGACCCGAAAGAUGGUGAACUAUGCUUGAAUAGGGUGAAGCCAGAGGAAACUCUGGUGGAGGCUCGCAGCGGUUCUGACGUGCAAAUCGAUCGUCAAAUUUGGGGCAUAGGGGCGAAAGACUAAUCGAACUAUCUAGUAGCUGGUUCCUGCCGA